CUCUGCACAUCAGUCCCCCGAGAUCUUGUCCGUGAUUUUCUCCGAUUUUUAGGGAUUUUGCCUCUGUAAGUGGUCUUCGUAUGAUUCUAAAUGUCUUCCAGGGGUUCUUCUUCUAGUGGCUCUAGGAGUUCGUCUGUCUCGGUCUCCCAGAGUCCUCAGACGAUAGAUGAACCGGUAGGUAGAGCUGAACCUCGUCUGAUUUUUGCAUCGGACGCCAUUCCUUGUUCUCUGACUCCAGAUGAACUCCAACUGAUAAGAGUUCAGUAUGGGG
rnacentral:lncRNA from 1 species